GGACUACCGGGGUAUCUAAUCCUGUUUGAUCCCCACGCUUUCGUGCCUCAGCGUCAGUUGUAGUUUUGUGAACUGCCUUCGCAAUGGGUGUUCUGUGUCAUAUCUAAGCAUUUCACCGCUACAUGACACAUUCCAUUCACAUCAAAUACACUCAAGAACAUCAGUAUCAAUGGCAGUUCUGUAGUUAAGCUACAGGAUUUCACCACUGACUUGACAUUCCGCCUACGCACCCUUUAAACCCAGUGAAUCCGGAUAACGCUUGGAUCCUCCGUAUUACCGCGGCUGCUGGCAC
rnacentral:rRNA from 1 species